GACGAACGCUGGCGGCGUGCUUAACACAUGCAAGUCGAACGGAAAGGCCUGCUUUCCCUUGUGGAUUGCGGGUACUCGAGUGGCGAACGGGUGAGUAACACGUGAGUGAUCUGCCCCCAACUUGGGUAUAAGCCUGGGAAACUGGGUCUAAUUCCCGAUAGGACUGCAGGGUGGUGCCUGUGGUGGAGAACGAUUUUCUAGUGGUUGGGGAUGAGCUCGCGGCCUAUCAGCUUGUUGGUGGGGUAAUGGCCUACCAAGGCGGCGACGGGUAGCCGGCCUGAGGGUGGACGGCCACAUUGGGACUGAGAUACGGCCCAGACUCCUACGGGAGGCAGCAGUGGGGAAUAUUGCACAAUGGGCGGAAGCCUGAUGCAGCGACGCCGCGUGGGGGAUGACGGCCUUCGGGUUGUAAACUCCUUUCGACCGCGAGGAAGCCACCUGGUUGGAAGGGUGGUGACGGUAGUGGUAGAAGAAGCACCGGCUAACUACGUG
rnacentral:rRNA from 1 species